rnacentral:rRNA from 1 species
GACGAACGCUGGCGGCGUGCUUAACACAUGCAAGUCGAACGGAAAGGCCCUGCUUUUGUGGGGUGCUCGAGUGGCGAACGGGUGAGUAACACGUGAGUAACCUGCCCUUGACUUUGGGAUAACCUCAGGAAACUGGGGCUAAUACCCGAUAGGAGCUCCUGCUGCAUGGUGGGGGCUGGAAAGUUUCGGCGGUUGGGGCUGGGCUCGCGGCUUAUCAGCUUGUUGGUGGGGUAGUGGCAUACCAAGGCUUUGACGGGUAGCCGGCCUGAGAGGGUCACCGGCCACAUUGGGCCUGCGAUACGGCGCAGUCUCCUACGGGGGGCAACGGUGGGAAGUAUUACACAGUGGGCGGGAGCCUGAGACAGCAGCGCCGCGUGCGUGAUGACGGCCUUCGGGGUAUGAACCGCUUGCGCCUGUGACGGAGCGUGAGUGACGGUAAUGGGUAAAGAAGCACCGGCUAACUACGUG